GAUGAACGCUGGCGGCGUGCCUAAUACAUGCAAGUCGAGCGAAUGGAUUAAGAGCUUGCUCUUAUGAAGUUAGCGGCGGACGGGUGUGUAACACGUGGGUAACCUGCCCAUAAGACUGGGAUAACUCCGGGAAACCGGGGCUAAUACCGGAUAACAUUUUGAACCGCAUGGUUCGAAAUUGAAGGGCGGCUUCGGCUGUCACUUAUGGAUGGACCCGCGUCGCAUUAGCUAGUUGGUGAGGUAACGGCUCACCAAGGCAACGAUGCGCAGUCGACCUGAGAGGGUGAUCGGCCACACUGGGACUGAGACACGGCCCAGACUCCUGCGGGAGGCAGCAGUAGGGAAUCUUCCGCAAUGGACGAAAGUCUGACGGAGCAACGCCGCGUGAGUGAUGAAGGCUUUCGGGUCGUAAAACUCUGUUGUUAGGGAAGAACAAGUGCUAGUUGAAUAAGCUGGCACCUUGACGGUACCUAACCAGAAAGCCACGGCUAACUACGUGCCAGCCGCCGCAGUAA
rnacentral:rRNA from 1 species